AGGACGAACGCUGGCGGCGUGCUUAACACAUGCAAGUCGAACGGAAAGGCCCUUUCGGGGGUACUCGAGUGGCGAACGGGUGAGUAACACGUGGGUGAUCUGCCCUGCACUUUGGGAUAAGCCUGGGAAACUGGGUCUAAUACCGAAUACACCUUGCUGGCUGCAUGGCCUGGUGGGGGAAAGCUUUUGCGGUGUGGGAUGGGCCCGCGGCCUAUCAGCUUGUUGGUGGGGUGAUGGCCUACCAAGGCGACGACGGGUAGCCGGCCUGAGAGGGUGUCCGGCCACACUGGGACUGAGAUACGGCCCAGACUCCUACGGGAGGCAGCAGUGGGGAAUAUUGCACAAUGGGCGCAAGCCUGAUGCAGCGACGCCGCGUGAGGGAUGACGGCCUUCGGGUGUAAACCUCUUUCAGUAUCGACGAAGCGCAAGUGACGGUAGGUACAGAAGAAGCACCGGCCAACUACGUGCCAGCAGCCGCGGU
rnacentral:rRNA from 1 species